UACAGAGGGGGCAAGCGUUAUUCGGAAUUAUUGGGCGUAAAGGGCGCGUAGGCGGCUUCGCAAGUGGGGGGUGAAAUCCCUCGGCUUAACCGAGGAACUGCCCUCCAAACUGCGUUGCUUGAGUCCGGGAGAGGUGAGUGGAAUUCCCAGUGUAGCGGUGAAAUGCGUAGAUAUUGGGAGGAACACCAGUGGCGAAGGCGGCUCACUGGACCAAUACUGACGCUCAUGUGCGAAAGCGUGGGGAGCAAACAGG
rnacentral:rRNA from 1 species